UCUACUUUCCCCAUUUCUAGACCCGUCUCCUCCUUCACCUCUCUGGCUCCUCACUCUUCGAAGCUCUCCCCUGCACCACUUAAUUAGCUAAUUAAUGCAAGAGAAACAAAAGUAAUUGAUUUAACUACUAUUCAAGUCAC